rnacentral:rRNA from 1 species
UGGGGAAUCUUCCGCAAUGGACGAAAGUCUGACGGAGCAACGCCGCGUGAGUGAAGACGGCCUUCGGGUUGUAAAGCUCUGUGAUUCGGGACGAAAGGCCAUAUGUGAAUAAUAUAUGGAAAUGACGGUACCUAACCAGAAAGCCACGGCUAACUACGUGCCAGCAGCCGCGGUAAUACGUAGGUGGCAAGCGUUGUCCGGAAUUAUUGGGCGUAAAGCGCGCGCAGGUGGUUUAGAAAGUCUGAUGUGAAAGCCCACGGCUCAACCGUGGAGGGUCAUUGGAAAGUAAUAAACUUGAGUGCAGGAGAGAAAAGUGGAAUUCCUAGUGUAGCGGUGAAAUGCGUAGAGAUUAGGAGGAACACCGGUGGCGAAAGCGGCUUUUUGGCCUGCAACUGACACUGAGGCGCGAAAGCGUGGGGAGCAAACAGG